ensembl:lncRNA LINC03093 long intergenic non-protein coding RNA 3093
GCAAUAGGCAAGGCUAUGACAGCACACCCGAAUCCCAGGACCCGGGGAUAAGUCGUAUCUUAGGAAUAUCUGCCCAUGAAGGCAGUGGGCCGCAGGAUCCCACUUUGAGGUGCCAGUGCUGAUUGUCAUUCCUUCCAAGAUGGUAAACCAUUAGGACAUCUGGAUCCCUCCCUAAGAUCAACCCUGGAGGAGCUGCAGAGGAGAAACAGGGCACAAGAGGACCAGAGAGGGCUGUGGGGAGCGGGGAAGAAGAAAACGAACCGUUAAAGUUCUGUUGCUCCCUCUCCCCCAGCAUCCUCCUGGGACAUACAGCGAUGGCCCCCACACCUGGAAGGACUCAAGCUCUGAAUCCAGCACCUUCAGGAAGCAAGUGAUGGCAUCCCAGAGGCCCUAUGCUUGAGACAGACUGACGAAAACAGGUGGAUCUAGGUAAAAUCAGUCUCUGCUACCCUCCUCAUCUAAACCCUCAGUGCAGGGCCACCUUGGAAGCCAUGUGUUAACACUGAGUGAUCCUCCUCAGCCAAGUCCCUAAUGCAUGGAAAAGAACCUCCUGACCCAGUCCCCAAAGGCUGGACUUUUCCUUUGCAAGAAAUAAGGAGGUAUUGUAUUAAGCCACAGUGUUGUUCUAUUACAGAAGAUUAAGCAGUGCUUAAAUUAACAUAUACCUCCCCCAAAAAAAACAUGGUCAGGAGUCAGGUAACUCUUAUAAAGUAAUUAGCACCUAGUGUCACGGAAUGUGGAUUUCUGUCAAUGUGAGGCCAUGGGACCCUGGAACAAUGCUGCCACUUCCUAUGAAUCUAUUUCUUAAAUUGCAGGGUAAAGUUCACCAUAAAUAACAAAGUCAUGGAGUCAAGCUGUCACAAUUGGCCACCGUUCCUAAGGCAUUUGAAUUGUAUGCAUUGACAGGAAAAAGCAGGAAGGAGUGAAGACAGAACAAGGGGAGAAUGUAACCUGAGUUGGAAGGUGUAAUAUUUAAAUGUAUUUGCAAACCUGUUUUGGGCCAAAAGGGGUAGGAGGAAGAGAAGACGCAUUUGCUGAGAUCUAUUAUAUGCCAAUUGGAGGACUACAGAUUUCACAAUUCACAUCUGUUGUCUUAUUUCUUUCUCAUAAUCCCAAAGAUAAUUCUAAAGUUACACAUUAUCAUCUCCAUUUACAAUUAAGAACUGAUGCUCCAAGAAGAAAGAUCUCACAGUGUGUAGGCAACAGACCUAAGAUUCAAACCUAUAUUGGUGGGUGUUAAUGUCCUUGUUCUUUCUGAUGUAAGCAUGUAACAUUUCCACAUCUCUGAUUCCAUGCUCAAGGUGGGCCAAGCCAUGCUGCUUGUAAGACAGGGUGCCUGUGAUGACACAAGUCAUUAAUGCAAGUGUUAAGUGCCAUGCAAGCACAGAAGCCACUUAAAAUGGGUUUUCGGAAAUGAAAGCUGGGCUCAAACAGAGCCCACUUUCAAGGGGGCCUGGUUUAAGUGGCCAAACUCUCAAGAAGAAAGGCAUUAAAGGAAGAGCCUUUCUGCUGGGCUGGCAAAACUUUAGGUUCAUGAAUUCAGGAGGAGACUGAGGAGGAGAAAACAGGGUUUUAGAAUGCAGCCUCAGGAGCUGCCUGCACCUCUCAGGCCAGGAGGUUGGCUUUUCCAAUUGUGCGAUUAAGCUAUUCUACCCAGCCCCACCUCUCAUUUUCAAUUAAUCUGCACUAAUGAAUUCAACAACCAAAAUGCAUUUGCUAAUUGAGGUGCUUGCUGGCCAGGUCAUCCGCGCUCCCUUGUCUAACAGCUGGUACUCCCCACUGUGCCACGGUAAAGUAGGGUAGUAGAGGCCUCUGCUCCCCUCAUCCCCUGCUGCCCCUGAGGGGAAUACCCAGUGGGCAAGAAAAGGCCCAGCCUGGGAGAGAAUGCUCAUAAUAUAUUACUAAGUCACAGACAGAAAUUGCUCCUCCGGGCAGUCUUUCACUUUUUGUUUCUAAGUGAAAGCUCAUGACCAUCCCAGCCAUAUUAUCUCCCUGGCCCUUGGAAGCUGUUAUGUAAUGGAAAGGGCAUUAAACUCAGGCCAGGAAAUUCUUGAUACAGAACCCAGACUGUUGUUGAUAACUGGGUUGACUUUGGAAAGUGACUGCCUCCCUCCCUCUCGGUUUGCUCAUCUGGAAAAUGAAACUAAUGGAACUGACCUUGGAGUCAUGGUGAAGUGCCCGUGAAUGUAA